AUGUAUAUAUAUGUCACACUGAGCAAUGAGAAAAUAGAGGCCGUGAGGGCUCAAGAGAAAAGAUGUAGCACUUGUGGUUGCCAAGAAAGAGUACCUCUCGGCAAAGUUAGUUGUUUUUCUUCCUUGUUAUACAUGCGUGUGUGUGCAGUUUCACCAUGUGUGUGUGUGUUCUUGAGAGAAACCAUAGAAGAGAAGAAGAGAGGAACCCAAAUAGAGUUGUGGGAGGCAGCUCGAGGUAGAAGAAAAGCAGCGCUGCCAGAGGCGGCGCCAACACUUGAAAAAUUUGAGGAUUGCCCAAUAGUAUCUAAUGAUUGGCACCCUCAGGCUUUCUAG
rnacentral:rRNA from 1 species